rnacentral:rRNA from 1 species
UGGGGAAUAUUGGACAAUGGGCGAAAGCCUGAUCCAGCCAUGCCGCGUGUGUGAAGAAGGUCUUCGGAUUGUAAAGCACUUUAAGUUGGGAGGAAGGGCAUUAACCUAAUACGUUAGUGUUUUGACGUUACCGACAGAAUAAGCACCGGCUAACUCUGUGCCAGCAGCCGCGGUAAUACAGAGGGUGCAAGCGUUAAUCGGAAUUACUGGGCGUAAAGCGCGCGUAGGUGGUUUGUUAAGUUGGAUGUGAAAUCCCCGGGCUCAACCUGGGAACUGCAUUCAAAACUGACUGACUAGAGUAUGGCAGAGGGUGGUGGAAUUUCCUGUGUAGCGGUGAAAUGCGUAGAUAUAGGAAGGAACACCGGUGGCGAAGGCGACCACCUGGACUAAUACUGACACUGAGGUGCGAAAGCGUGGGGAGCAAACA